rnacentral:pre_miRNA from 13 species
UCAGUACUCAUCUGAUGGCAAAUAAAUCUCGCCGGGACUUCCAAAUGUUGUAACUGAGCGAGUUGUAGAGAAACGCCACACUUUGAGACUAAUUUAGCAGUCCUUUAUUUG